AUCCAUCAUGCUUUGUAGGUCCACGGUAAACUUUGAUUUGUACGCGAGCCACGUCAUCUGUGAAAAAACAAUAUGUAAAGCUCAUUGUCGUGACCACCACAAUCCAUAUAAAAGACCACGCAAAACGUGAAUGCCGGCUCUCAUGACGUGAGACACGAUUUUUUUUUUAUUAGAUGUGUGGACGAGCUCACAGCCUACCUGAUCUUAUCUCUGGAACUACAAUUAGAAACCAUUCGUCGCCUUCCGUAUUCGCCAGACCUUGCUCCAACGGACUAACACUUUUUCAUGAUUUGGACAAUUUUCUACGUGAUAAAAGUUUUCUUCUCAGGAGGCAUUGCAGAAUGCUUUCACGCAGUUUGUAGAAUCUAGAUCACCAGAGUUCUGCCGCAUAGGCAUAAAUGACCUUCCUAUUAAAUGGCAGCAAUGUAUAGAUAAUAAUGGUAGAUAUUUUGAUUAAAUAAAUGUUUUAAAUGAAAAAAAAAACAUUUUUCAAUUUUUCAGUACAAAUCGGCCAUUUCAUACUUUAACCCCUAAUAUUAACACCAAAACUGUAUGCACUAACUGUAUGAACUGUUUCUCCAUAAAUCUGCCUGGGUGUGAUUUCAUCUCAUAUUUGGAAACACUAAAUGAAAAUGGAUAUUAUUUCACAUUCAACCAGCCAAAACUCAUUUUUUCUCCAAUGUCUUAAUUGUUCGAACGCCAAUAGAACUAACACAAAUAGGACCCAAAUACUAAAUUAAGGAGACAUAAACUCCACCCUUGAAUCAAACACAGGUGUAAAAAUCUAUGAAGUGCAACUUUAAUACUGCAUCAUCUUCCUGAUAAUGUUUAUUUAUUAUACAAAUAAGUGAGGGUUUGGAGAAUAAAACAGCAUAUCAAAACAUUUCAAUCUUGAUGUAUCAUAUUUGCCUUACAUAUUAACAUGAUUGCUAUAACUGCAUCAAAAUACCAACAUCUGCAAGAACUCAAACAAGUUCUACCAGCAGAGUGCCAUAACUUUUAUGAUUCUUUGCCUCAUUUGUAAGAUGCCAAGUGUAAGGUAUGGAAAAUAACAUUAUUCCAUGCUAUUGAUUAAUAAACUAUUUGAUUCCUUA